rnacentral:lncRNA from 1 species
GACCUUUAAUUAUGAUUGUACAUAUGCCCUGAGUUGCUGACUUGCUUGCUAAUCCAAGGAGUUGCUUCAAAUGCAGUGUGCCGACCUAGCCAUGGUCGACAGCAUGUGCUGCUUUCAAUGCCUCGGUUCAUGAUUUGUUGCUGGCCAAUCUUGUACCUGAUGACCUGUACUGGUGCUUGCUUACUUGGUGCAUGAUGUUGGGUUAUUAUAGCAUGUGCACAUGACAUGGUAAAGACCUUGUUGAUGUUUGCAGGUCCUGUGAAGGGCUUCUGACUUGGUUCAAAGAAAGCCAUGACUUAUGCUCAGAUGUGCUUUAAGUCAUAGUUCCUUUGCAAGUGUGCAUCCUAUUGAUCCUGCAUGCACUGACUCAUGCAGUCUUAGUUCACCUCAACAUUUCAUGGCUACCUCUACAGUUUGACAUUAAUUCUGUUUGAU